AUUGAACGCUGGCGGCAGGCUUAACACAUGCCAGUCGAGCGAGCGGCGGACGGGUGAGUAAGGUCUGGGACACUGCAUGAUGGAGGGGGAUAACUAAUGGAAACGGUAGCUAAUACCGCACAUCAUCAGCUGUGCCCAGGUGGGAUUAGCUUGUUGGUGGGGUAACGGCGCACCAAGGCGACGAACCCUAGCUGGUCUGAGAGGAUGACCAGCCACACUGGAACUGAGACACGGUCCAGACUCCUACGAGAGGCAGCAGUGGGGCAUAGUGGACAAUGGGCGCAAGCCUGAUGCAGCCAUGCCGCGUGUGUGAAGAAGGCCUUCGGGUUGUAAAGUACUUUCAGCGGGGAGGCGUUACCCGCAGAAGAAGCACCGGCUAACUCCGUGCCAGCAGCCGCGGUAAUAC
rnacentral:rRNA from 1 species